CUUGGUUCUGUGAGAAUCAGAGGGGCCAACUUGUGCCUCACAGCUGACCAAAUAGCUUAUUCUUUACAUAAACAGGUAGAGCAUUCGUGUGGGAAAUCGAUAAUAAUAAAACCAUCUCCAUAAGCAGAACUUGCUGCAUGCUUUUUUCUUUUUGCUGCGUUGGUUGCUUUUUGUUCUCUUUCUUGCAGCUUCCUUUGACUGCUGAUCUGAGCCGGUUUUCUCAUGACUAAGUAUAUAUCACCUCUAUGGAGAAAGACAUUUUCAGAUCAUUCAUGACUAAUUGUAAGAUAAGUGCUUUGUCUGAGGAUUACCAUUUCCAGAAAUCAAUACAGUCUCCCCAUGCAGCGAAGAAGAAGCUAUGGGACAUCAUUCCACACGUACAGUACACCUCUACGAUUUGAUCUUGAUCAUUCUUUUUUGUUUUAUUUUUAGACUUAAACAGAUGAUUGCUUGUAUAGAUGUGAAAUCUGUAACACACAUUUUGGUUCAUUUCAGCCUGCCAACAGUGGAAAAUAGAAAAUGAUGUGUAUCUGCUCUGAUACCAAAAAAAAAACAAAACAAAACAAAAAAAACAGAAUUCUAGUGGGAGUCUAAGCAAAUUGAAAGCAAAGUGCUUUGUUGGCAGAAUAGCUCACAUCUUAGUCAUGGGGAGUUGUGGCCAUUAAGUUAAAAAAAAUAUGUUGGGGUUAUGUUUGUGGUCUUUCAAAUACCAAUGAAUCCAUCAUUUCAGGAAAUAAUAGGGAUGAUUUAUUUUUGCUUCUGUAUUAGUGUGUUGUUUCAGCACUGUUUCCAAUGUUAGUUUGUAUUCUUAAUACACUAAUUAUUUUCAAUGUCUUUAUAUAUUCAAUAAUCAAACAGUAUGUUUAUAUUUAUUAAUUAUUAAUAGGAGAUUGACAAAUAAGUAUAGCAUUUCAUAGUACAUAAUUUAACUAUAUUUACUUGUGAGAAUGAAAAAUAAGAAGUAUAAAGUUUUGCUGCAAAGGACCUAGUCUGUGAACCUGAGACAGUCCAAUACUUGGAGAUCCUCUUAAUGUUCUUUAAUUCUUCACGACCAAAUGAGCUAUCAGUAUUCUGUAUAAAAAUGGCCGAGUUCUACACUGAAAGUUGUAACUUGCUUCUGGCUAUUCAUGUGUGAGGAAUCCAUUCAGACAUCUUUAUGCAUAGCAUACAAGAUCAGAAUAAUAAUAAAAAAAAAACAAGGGUCAUACUUAGUGCCAGAAAGAAUACUCUUUAUUACACAUAAUCACUUUAAUCUAUUGUACAAUACAGUUACAUAUUAUUCACUAAAAAAAAAGUUACUUUUUUUAAUUUACUUGAUUAAACAGAAAAUGUAGCCGUUUUCAUAUGAAAAAAAAUACAAAAGCUAUUAGUUUCUAAGAUGGUUUAAUGAGCCAAUUAAUACCGCUUAGAGUUUUAUGACCACUGACGGCAGAUAAAGGUUUUAAUAUUGAGUCUCGUACUUUUACGUCUUGAGAAAUCAAAUGUAGUAUUUUCUUUAAAAAGCAAAACUCCAGAAGAAUUACUUUAGUUUUCAUCUUUGUCCUUGAAACGCAAUAUGUAAGUUAGAAGAAAGCUCCUCCACAAGCACAUUUUUCACUAUUAUUUUUCAAGGUGCUUUAUGUUGUUCAGACCCUUUGUGUGUCUCCAAAUGAUCUGCAGAUGUUUUGUUUGAGCAGAUUAUCUUAGAAAAUGUAGUUUCCUUUAUGGGAAUAAUUAGCAACUAAAAGUCAGAAUGCAUAUUCUACCCUGAAAUAAGCAUUCACAGUCCUUUGAUGCUUAGAGACAAUUAAGCUAAUUAGUUCUUCAAUGUCAUCUGCUCUUAUUUGAUUGUUUAUUUUUUCUAUUAUGCUUGAAUUUGCAGAUUACUCAUCUUCUACAGACAAUAACAUGGUUAGCAAGACUUAGUUUCUUUUAAGGUUUGGAAAGAAGAAUUAUUAGAGGAAGGACCUUGACUAUUGUAUGUUAAUAUGAAAACCCCUUUAGACUGAGAAAGAAUAUCUAAUGGAAAUUCAGGCAGAACAUAAUUGUUAAUCCUGGUUGAAGCUUAUUUGUAUCCGGCUUUUAAUGCUCCAUUUAUGACAAGCUUUUGUUUCUGCAAGGUAUAAGUGAAAGAGAGGAGCUUUUAAAUGAGAUGCAUUAGAUGCAUUUGUAGUCUCUGUGCUGCACUCAGGGUAUUGUGGGCCUCUGAUGAAUUCUGGUUCAAUUUUGCAAAAAGCCUGUUUGAAAGUCUGAAAUUUGCUGGACCUACUCUACUCAGUAUCUUCUGUUUAUUCUCCACCUGUUUGGAAAUUGUCUUUUGAACAUUAGGUGCUAAAAUGCUUUUAAAGGCAAUAGUCUAUACAUUCAAAUGGUAUGGAUGAAAUAGGCAUUAUAUUGUAUGGGGCUUUGGUGAUAGAAUCCAUGUUUUUCAAAUAUUAAUUGGCCUUAAUAGACACUACAAAGAAAACCAUGCAUAGGAAAAGCUAGGAAAGAUCUUCUGAAAACAUUCGACACGUAAAGCUAACAAUUCAUUACACUCAAAUAUCUUAAGUCCAACAAUUAUAAUAAAAAAUACAAUAAUUUAGGAAAUCAUGAAUAAUAUUGUGUACAUGAAAUUUGGAAACUGGAGACUACUUUGUAUUAAAGUGAGUAUAUCAUGGGUUCUCCAGCAAAAAUAAAAACAAGAAAAAAAGAA